rnacentral:lncRNA from 1 species
UUUUUUUUUUUUUUUUUUUGAGACGGAGUCUCGCUCUGUCGCCCAGGCUGGAGUGCAGUGGCGCAAUCUCGGCUCACUGCAACCUCCACCUCCCGGGUUCACGCCAUUCUCCUGCCUCAGCCUCCCGAGUAGCUGGGACUACAGGUGCCCGCCACCACGCCCGGCUAAUUUUUUGUAUUUUUUGUAGAGACAGGGUUUCACCGUGUUAGCCAGGAUGGUCUCGAUCUCCUGACCUUGUGAUCCGCCCGCCUC